UACGUAGGUGGCAAGCGUUGUCCGGAAUUAUUGGGCGUAAAGCGCGCGCAGGCGGUUCUUUAAGUCUGAUGUGAAAGCCCACGGCUCAACCGUGGAGGGUCAUUGGAAACUGGAGAACUUGAGUACAGAAGAGGAAAGCGGAAUUCCACGUGUAGCGGUGAAAUGCGUAAAGAUGUGGAGGAACACCAGUGGCGAAGGCGGCUUCUGGUCUGUAACUGACGCUGAGGCGCGAAAGCGUGGGAGCAAACAGG
rnacentral:rRNA from 1 species